UCCUAGUUAACCUAGGCAGUCUCGCCAGAGUUCCCAGCAUUACCUGUUGGCAACUGACGAUAAGGGUUGCGCUCGUUGCGGGACUUAACCCAACACCUCACGGCACGAGCUGACGACAGCCAUGCAGCACCUGUGUAGCGGCUCUUGCGAGAAACCCUAUUUCUAGGGCGGUCCACUACAUGUCAAGCCUGGGUAAGGUUCUUCGCGUUGCAUCGAAUUAAACCACAUGCUCCACUGCUUGUGCGGGCCCCCGUCAAUUCUUUUAAGUUUCACCCUUGCGAGUGUACUCCUCAGGCGGCACACUUAACGCGUUAGCUGCGACACAACCGGGGUUGAUUCCGACUACAUCUAGUGUGCAUCGUUUACGGCAAGGACUAC
rnacentral:misc_RNA from 1 species